CCAAUGCCAGGUGCCCCAGAGGGAGUGAACCGAACAGACCUCUCAUCCCUUCCUGCUGGCUGCGCAGCCCGGGGGAGCGGGGAGGUGCAGGGACCAGAUGCUCCCUCACACCGAGACACCCAGCUCAUGUUCUCUAGACCUUUAAUCAUUCUUGCUGC